rnacentral:lncRNA from 1 species
GAGCAGACUUUUUCAACCUCUGCCUGUUGUGAAUUGUUGUUGUGAGGGAAACAUGUGAUACUUCUGGUCUCAUCUAAUGGAUCUCAAAUGAUCCCAGGGAGGGGGGCCUCCCGUGAUUAACCAGAAGGUCUGUAUGGAUGUGGAAUUUCUGGAUCCAUGAUCCAAAUCUGUAUCUCAAUUAAAGGGUUGUUGAACUUUACUUAGGCACCCUGAGCUUGGCAAACCUGGGUAUCAGCAGAAGCACCUGGCUUUGUCAAAAGAGCCCUGGCAUUGUGGGUGCAAAGCAGAGCAGGACUGGCAUCAAAUCACACAAGUGACUGGGCAUGAAAACACAUUCGAUUCCUGCAAAUGGAGCAAAUUGGGAGCAUUUAACUUACAGAACGGAGAGCAGGGGGGAAAAACACAGUGGGCAUUGCUUCAAAACUGCUUUGGCAGGGAAGACUGGGUCAAGGAGACAGAUGACACCAUGGAUUUUCUUAAUGUAGGGUAGUUACUCACCAAGGAAGGCACAGGAUGACAGCUACUUUACCCUUGAGAUGCCAACCAUCCAGCCACCAUAGCAUGCUAACCACUGGUCUUCUGGGGGACAGUACCAGGCGUCUGCAAGUAAGCCUAUAAUUAUGCUAGCUUUGAAGUAAUUCCAGUUUAAAUCAAUUGUGUUUACUCAGGAGUAAACAUGGUUAGGUCGGAGCUGAAAGUGCACAGUGUAAAUAUGUACAACUGUUUCUUAAAGCAGAUGUAUUAUAUGUGGGUGGUUCCUAAGAACAAUAAGUGAGUAUAUUGAAGGUGGAAUUUACUUGCAAUUCAUUAAGUACCAUUUCAAGUGACUGCCAGGAUUUCUAGCUGUUUGCCUCUUUAAAAAGUGGUUUUGUGUAAUACUGAAGUGGAGAUGUUCAGAUCUCGCAUGUAGUGAGAUGCAUGAGCAACAUGUGCCUCCAGAACUCCUCUGUUUCACUACAAGAGCGCAAGGAAGAAGUCUGUGCCUCUCAGGGUUCCCCUUUUGCUUGUUAAGAGAUGAGAGAGAGAGCAGAGGUUUAUUCGGUUUCAUUCAUGAACUUUCCAAGUGGCUCAGCACAAGUCCCUCUCUCCCUCUCUCAAGUCCCCAUCCUUUAAGCAAGAUUAAGUGUGGUGACCUUUCUCCCAGAGCAGUUUGGAGAAUGGAUGGAAAGGAAUGGCAACAGUGUUGGUAACUGACUAAAAUUAAUAAGUGGCCUUUGUACCCUCUGGAGGGCAGAAAGCAACAUGAGUAAGCUGAACUUUCAUGAGGUGGCAAUGGGUUGAAGGAGUAUAUAUGUAGAUAAUACACAACACAGACUGCUUGGGCAUCUCUUGUGAGUCCAAGUGUGGUGACCACACAGGGUCCCAGGGCGUUUGACGGUCUAUUGACCCUGUGCCACCACUGUGAUUGCUUUCUUUGCUGCCACCAACCUGUUUCUCACGGGUACACACUAAGUCCAGACAGUUGUUAACAUUAACAAAUAAUCAAGUUUAUUUUAUAGGCAUGAACAAGCUUAUGGUUUCAGUUAAUUUUUCUUGUCAGUUUCUUAAUCUUAGUUCCUUAACUGUCCUAUUCGUUCCUAACAACUUCAAACUGAUUAUCCCAUCUAACUAUCUGACUCCACCUAACAGUUCCUCUCACUCUCACACCACACAACUUGACCAACCCACAGACUUAUCCUCCCUCUUCCUUCUCCAACGCCCCACUCUCAACUGACUUCCACACAACUCCAACUCUCACUCUAACUCCUCCCCUCUGUUUCCACGGGCCAAUCACUUCACACUCAUUUAACCCUUUCCUUAUGACCCACCUAGGAGCAAACGCCACACCAAGCAUCUGCUUUCUCAUGUUAGCUGCGCAAAGUUUGAAAAGCAGGCAUGUUGGAGAGUUCCCACAGUUGGAGCAGACUUUGGCUCUCCACAUCUCUGUAUCUUGCCAGCAUUCUAGUGCAUAUUUUAUUCCCAAUACACACUUUUUAAUGCAAUUUUACCUAAUAUAAAUAUUUCUGCAAGUAUUUCCCCCUAAUAUAAUGCAUUUUAUCUGUUAUCUCCACUAAUACAUUUAUUUAUGAGCACUUUCCCAUAGAAUAUACAUUUUUUUAGCACACAUUACUUGGUUGGAGAACUUCACUGCAAAAUUCAGAGAAGUGCACAUUUUGAAAGAUGGCCGUGCUUCAAGUUUGCACAUGGUCUUAAGAAGCAUCAGAUAGGCAAAUUCGCCUUUAAAUGAGAACUGAAUCAAAUUUGUCCCUCGCCCUUACUUUGUGUGUGUGUGAGAGAGUGCUUGAGACAUAAAGUAAAGCCCCUCACAAACGUCUUGAGCUGACAAAUCAAUUCUUAUAAAAGGGCCAUGUCCUUGCGGCCAGCUGGAAUGUAGAAGGAGGCAUUUGGAACGGGGAGUGCAAUUCUGGGAGCAGCUGUCCUAAUAAUCUGAUCUAUUUCUGAGGCUGAUAAGUGUAGCAAAUCCCUCGUGCUGUCUACUUGAGAUAAACAUUUCUUUUAAAUAACUGAUGGUAUCAGUUUCCUCACUGCCUGGCCCAUAUCCUCAGUCCCAUUGAACCUGGGAGUUUGCUCCAGCUGGGAUCUCAUCCAGUUCCCGUCUGUUGACUGGCCAAUUUAUCUUUGUGGUCAAGUGCACAGGACCAUGGCUAUAUUAAUGGCCGUUUUGUGGCAGGCACUCCACCCCCAGAUCAAAAGCCCAAAUCUAGAAAAUUCAAAUGUCAUGCUUGAGUGAUCCUGGCCCCAAUAUUUGAAAUUUUGAAAUGCAGUUUUAAAAAUAAAUAAAUUCUGGCAGGGAGCAAGAUGUUGGCAGGUGGAGAACUAUGACUAUGAGAUAGGUCAUAGAACUACGUACCACCACUUACCAAAUGUGGGUAGAAACCAUAAGGCAGGAAUUGGUAGCCAUAUAGGGCAUCAAAGGUCUAACCCUUUCCCAUUGAAAUCCAUGUAGAAAUGGGAGGAGACAGACUUAGUCUCGCCCCCAGGUAGAACUGGGAUGGAAAUUAUCAUAAUGGGCCCAUCCAUCCCUAUUAAUACAUGAAUAGAGAUUAAGUUGCUUCUGGAAGCAAAUCCCACUGAAUAGGUAAAAGGUAAAGGUAAAGGACCCCUGGACGGUUAAGUCCAGUCAAAGACGACUAUGGUGUUGCGGCGCUCAUCUCGCUUUCAGGCUGAGGGACCCAGCGCUUGUCCACAGACAGUUUUGCGGGUCAUGUGGCCAGCAUGACUAAAUUGCUACUGGUGCAACGGAACACCGUGAGGGAAAUCAGAGUACACAGAAACACCGUUUACCUUCCCUCCACAGUGGUACCUAUUUAUCUACUUGCACUGGUGUGCUUUCGAACUGCUAGGUUGGCAGGAGCUGGGACAGAGCAACGGAAGCUCACUCCAUCGUGGGAAUUCGAACUGCUGACUUUCCAAUUGGCAAGUUCAAGAGGCUCAGUGGUUUAGACCACAGCACCCUCCUUGUCCCUACUGAAUAUUCUCUCUGUGAUAAAAGGUUUUUUUUUUAGUCCUGAAUCUCCCAUCAUUUCGCUUCAUUGGACAACUCCUGAUUCUAGUAGUAUAUGAGAGAAAGAGGCAGAGAGAGAGAGAAAUCACUUCUUCAUCUGCUUCCUGCUCACUGGUUUUGCGAAGAAGAGGAGCUGCUUCUAAGCACUCUCUGAACAGAAAACUUAGGAUGCCCUCAAGUAUGUGCUGAUUGAAGAGCUCCAGGGGUUCUUUCAAAACAUGAAUUGCAAAAUAAACAAACAACUUUUGACAAA